GACGAACGCUGGCGGCGUGCUUAACACAUGCAAGUCGAACGGAAAGGCCCUGCUUUUGUGGGGUGCUCGAGUGGCGAACGGGUGAGUAACACGUGAGUAACCUGCCCUUGACUUUGGGAUAUCUUCAGGGAACUGGGGCUAAUACCGGAUAUGAGCUACUGCUGCAUGGUGGGGGUUGGAAAGUUUCGGCCGUUGGGGAUGGACUGGCGGGUUAUCAGCUUGUUGGUGGGGUAGUGGUUUACAAAGGCUUUGAGGGGUAGCCUGCCUGGGAGGUUGACCGGGCUCCUGGGGACUGAGGGACGGCGCAGUAUGCUAUGGGAGGCAACAGUGGGGAAUAUGACAGAAUGGGCGGAAGCGUGAGGCAGAAGUGUCGCGUGCGGGAAGAUGGCUUUCGGGGGGUAAACCGAUGUGGACGUAGAUGAAGAGUGAGUGACGGUAAUGGGUAAAGAAGCAACGGCUAACUACGUG
rnacentral:rRNA from 1 species